GGGAUAUCAACAUCAUUGUCGACGUUGCUUCGUUCCCCGUUUUUACCUGUCUCUUUCUAAAUUUUACUUUAUGCAUUUAUUCAUGCAUGGAUAUUUCAUUGUUAUUCAACUUGUUUGCAUUGGAUUUACUAUUCUAUUUUCCGCAGAAUAUUCUAAAGAUAAUUGUACAGUGUCCGGAUACAUAGUACGGUGUGGUAAAACUAUCAACAAUCUCGUCAAAUUCGUCAGAUUUGUCGAGAGAUUCAAAAUGUCUUUGCCGAUUAAUUGAUAUAUGGGAAGUCCCAAAAUUAUACUCAAUGUGCACUUGAAUGAAAUAGUUGCCACUUGACGUUUAACUACAAACAAAAUUAAUCAACCGACAUAAUAGAUUAACAGUACACUAUUCCCAGAAGAGAACCUCAUACUUUUUUAUUAAAAAGUACAAAUGAAUUCAGACAUGUCAGUGUUGGUACUUGGAUGAUGCGGCCUAGUAGUUUUGUUUUACACACCAUCCUGAAUUACUAUCUCUAGUGACUGUUCAAUAUUAUGAAUACAGAGAUGAAAUGCUGACACUCUCAAUUUAUGCGGAAAAAAUUUUGCAUUAAUUGUUUUCCAAUAUUAUUGCUUACAUUUGCGGUCCUACUAAAAUGUGCACAGGAGCGCCAGGAGAAGACAUAAAGGCGCUAGGAACAAUACUAUGCGGGUACAUAGAUUUACAAAUUAAUGUGCACAUAUGGUCAGUUUUGGUUGAAACGGUCAAAUAAUUUUGUUGUACAAGUCAGCAUGAGGUAUCAAAACUACUGAAAUUUUGUUACGUAUCAAUAUUUUGAAUAAAAGGAGGACAUGCUGGCACCCUAAAUUUAUGCGAACAAAAAUUUGUUGUUAUUGUAUUGCAAUAUUGCUGUCCAUUGUAUAAUACAUUAAAUUCUGAAAUAAUAAAUAUGGCUGAUUUACUAUGAGGGUAUAUAGAUUUACAAAUUUAAGUGCACAUAUGGUCAGUAUUGGUCGAUGCGGUCAAAUAAUUUUGUUGUACAAGUCAGCAUGAAGUAUCAAAACUACUGAAAUUUUGUUACGUAUCAAUAUUUUGAAUAAAAGGAGGACAUGCUGGCACCCUAAAU